rnacentral:rRNA from 1 species
UACAGAGGGGGCAAGCGUUGUUCGGAAUUACUGGGCGUAAAGGGCGCGUAGGCGGCCCAGUAAGUCAGACGUGAAAUCCCCUGGCUCAACCAGGGAACUGCGUCUGAUACUGGAUGGCUUGAAUCCGGGAGAGGGAUGUGGAAUUCCAGGUGUAGCGGUGAAAUGCGUAGAUAUCUGGAGGAACACCGGUGGCGAAGGCGGCAUCCUGGACCGGUAUUGACGCUGAGGCGCGAAAGCCAGGGGAGCAAACGGG